rnacentral:rRNA from 1 species
AUGCGAGGUUGGCAGCCGCUCCAGAAGCUUCUAGAAGCCGCCGCGGACUCCUCCACUCCCCUUGCCGCCGCGCGCCUCCACGCCCGCCUCCUCCGCUCGGGCCACCUCCACUCCUCCCACCAUCUCACAUCUCAUGUCCUCGCGUCCUACCCUCCCGCCCUCGCUCGCCACCUGUUCGAUGAAAUCCCCGUCCCGACCCCGCUCCUUGCCAAUGCGCUCCUCCGCGCGCGCGUCCGUGCGGGCCAGUGGCGCGACGUGCUCCUCCUCCUCCCGCGCCUCCGCGUCCGCCCGGACGCCUUCACGCUGUCCCUCCUGCUCAAGUCCUGCGCCAUGCUCCCCUCGCUCGCCCACGGCCGCGCCGUGCACGCCCUCGCCGUCCGAUCCUGCGCCGCUUACACUGACGCCUUCGUGGCCGCCGCGCUUGUGCAGAUGUACGCGAAGUGCGGCGACAUGGUUGGCUCAAUCAACGCCUUCAAUGCGUUCGAGGAACCAGACAUCGUCCUCCGGACUUCCGUGGUGACUGGGUACGAGCAGAACGGGAUGGCACAGGAGGCACUGGAGUUCUUUGCAAGGAGUGUGAUUGGGCACAGUUUCAUGCCGAGUCCAGUCACUCUUGUGAGCGUGAUCUCGGCAGCGGCGCAGUUGAGGGAUGUCCGAAAUGGGCAGGCCUGCCAUGCAUAUGUUCUCAGGAAUGACUUGGAGUAUGACUUGGUUCUGUUGAAUGCUAUUCUUGGGCUUUACAUGAGGAUUGGAGUUGUACAAUCUGCAAGGAGGUUGUUCGAGGGAAUGAUGCAGAGAGACGUGGUCACAUGGAGCUGUAUGGUCACAGGAUAUGUGCAAUGUGGACACAACUCUGAAGCAUUGAGCGUAUAUAAGAAAAUGGUUGAGGCAGGAGUGAAGCCAAAUGCAGUUACUGUUGUGAGUGUUCUGCAGGCCUGUUCACUUGCUCUGGAUGUUGAAGAAGGCAAGAGGUUGCAUGACGUUGCUGUCAAGAUAGGUUGCGAACUUGAGAUGACAGUUGCAACUGCGCUGGUUGAUAUGUACAUGAAGUGCUCGUGUCAGGAGAAGGCAAUGCAGUUAUUUCUUCGGAUGCCAAAGAAAGAUGCAGUAGCUUGGGCGGCGGUCAUUAGUGGUCUUACCCAAAAUGGUCUCCCUGAUGAGUCGAUGAGAGUCUUCAAGUGCAUGUUGUUGGAUGGUCCUGUCCCUGACGCUGUCACUAUGGUGAAGGUACUUGCUGCAUGCUCAGAAUCUGGUGUUAUGAAUCAAGCCUUUUGUCUCCAUGGCUAUUUGGUUAACACUGGUUUCUGUGAUAGGAGGUUUGUGGCAGCUGCACUUGUGGACUUGUAUUCUAAAUGUGGAAACUUGGGUAGCGCUGUCAGGGUAUUUGAAAGUGCCACUGAGAAGGAUAUUGUGCUAUGGAGCUCAAUGAUCUCAGGUUAUGGAGUCCAUGGCCUUGGGCAGCAAGCUGUUGCCUUGUACCAAAGGAUGGUCGCUUCUUCAGUUAAACCUAAUAGCCUGACAUUUGUAUCUGUGUUAUCGGCAUGCAGCCACUCUGGACUUGUGCAGCAAGGAAAGUCCAUUUUUAAAAGCAUGACUCGAGUCUAUGGAAUCAUGCCAAAUACAGAGCAUCGUAGUGCCAUGGUUGAUCUCCUUGGCCGAGCCGGUGAAUUGGAAGAGGCAGCGAAGCUCCUCCAUGAAACAGGUGGGAGAGCUGAUGCUCAUACUUGGUGUGCCUUGCUUGCUGCCUUUAGAGAACACCGUGACACAGAGAUGAGUGAUAUGGUAGCUGCCAAACUACUCAAGCUGGAUCCUGACCAUGUUGGCUACUAUAAUCUCAUGACCAAUAUAUAUGCAUUUGAUGAAAAGUGGGACCGUGUAAAAGAGACUAGGGACAUUAUCAGAGAUAGAGGUUUGAAAAAAGUGCCAGGUUGCAGUGCAAUAGAGAUCAAUGAUGCAAUGCACACAUUCACAGCUGGGGAGAGGUCACAUCAAGAUUGGGAGAAGAUCUCUACAUUGCUCUGGGAGUUGUCACGAAAGUUAAGAGGGGAUGAUUGUUUCUUUCAGUUGGACCGUCACUUGGUGUUUGAAGAUUUC